rnacentral:rRNA from 1 species
CCUACGGGAGGCAGCAGUGGGGAAUAUUGGACAAUGGGGGGAACCCUGAUCCAGCGACGCCGCGUGAGUGAAGAAGUAUUUCGGUAUGUAAAGCUCUAUCAGCAGGGAAGAAAGAAAUGACGGUACCUGACUAAGAAGCCUCGGCUAACUACGUGCCAGCAGCCGCGGUAAUACGUCGGGGGCAAACGUUAUCCGGAUUUACUGGGUGUAAAGGGGGCGUAGACGGCGAUGCAAGUCUGAAGUGAAAGGCGGGGGCCCAACCCCCGGACUGCUUUGGAAACUGUAUGGCUGGAGUGCAGGAGAGGUAAGUGGAAUGCGUAGUGUAGCGGUGAAAUGCGUAGAUAUUAGGAGGAACACCAGUGGCGAAGGCGGCUUACUGGACUGUAACUGACGUUGAGGCUCGAAAGCGUGGGGAGCAAACAGGAUUAGAUACCCCAGUAGUC